rnacentral:rRNA from 1 species
GAUGAACGCUGGCGGCGUGCCUAAUACAUGCAAGUCGAGCGAACAGACGAGGAGCUUGCUCCUCUGACGUUAGCGGCGGACGGGUGAGUAACACGUGGAUAACCUACCUAUAAGACUGGGAUAACUUCGGGAAACCGGAGCUAAUACCGGAUAAUAUAUUGAACCGCAUGGUUCAAUAGUGAAAGACGGUUUUGCUGUCACUUAUAGAUGGAUCCGCGCCGCAUUAGCUAGUUGGUAAGGUAACGGCUUACCAAGGCGACGAUGCGUAGCCGACCUGAGAGGGUGAUCGGCCACACUGGAACUGAGACACGGUCCAGACUCCUACGGGAGGCAGCAGUAGGGAAUCUUCCGCAAUGGGCGAAAGCCUGGCGGAGCAACGCCGCGUGAGUGAUGAAGGUCUUCGGAUCGUAAAACUCUGUUAUUAGGGAAGAACAAAUGUGUAAGUAACCAUGCACGUCUUGACGGUACCUAAUCAGAAAGCCACGGCUAACUACGUG